rfam:Oryza nivara chromosome 2, whole genome shotgun sequence.
AUACCUUUCUCGGCCUUUUUGCUAAGAUCAAGUGUGUAUCUGUUCCUAAAGCCUAAUACAGUAAUAUUAACUAUAUAUAUAGAAUGUAUGACAUAUAUUAACUGUAGUAGAUAUGUAGUAUCUCACGCAGGACUGUGUAAAUCAAA